rnacentral:rRNA from 1 species
ACGGGUGAGUAAUGUCUGGGGAUCUGCCCGAUAGAGGGGGAUAACCACUGGAAACGGUGGCUAAUACCGCAUAACGUCGCAAGACCAAAGAGGGGGACCUUCGGGCCUCUCACUAUCGGAUGAACCCAGAUGGGAUUAGCUAGUAGGCGGGGUAAUGGCCCACCUAGGCGACGAUCCCUAGCUGGUCUGAGAGGAUGACCAGCCACACUGGAACUGAGACACGGUCCAGACUCCUACGGGAGGCAGCAGUGGGGAAUAUUGCACAAUGGGCGCAAGCCUGAUGCAGCCAUGCCGCGUGUAUGAAGAAGGCCUUCGGGUUGUAAAGUACUUUCAGCGGGGAGGAAGGCGAUGUGGUUAAUAACCGCAUCGAUUGACGUUACCCGCAGAAGAAGCACCGGCUAACUCCGUGCCAGCAGCCGCGGUAAUACGGAGGGUGCAAGCGUUAAUCGGAAUUACUGGGCGUAAAGCGCACGCAGGCGGUCUGUUAAGUCAGAUGUGAAAUCCCCGGGCUUAACCUGGGAACUGCAUUUGAAGCUGGCAGGCUUGAGUCUUGUAGAGGGGGGUAGAAUUCCAGGUGUAGCG